CGGUGAAUAGCGCAGCUUGGUAGCGCAUCUGGUUUGGGACCAGAGGCUCGGGGGUUCGAAUCCCUCUUCACCGA
rnacentral:tRNA from 1 species